rnacentral:rRNA from 1 species
UAGUGGCGGACGGGUGAGUAACGCGUGGGUAACCUACCCAUAAACCCGGGACAACCCUUGGAAACGAGGGCUAAUACCGGAUAAUCUUUUAGCUUGGCAUCAAGCAUUAAGAAAAGGUGGCCUCUGAAAAUGCUACCGAUUAUGGAUGGACCCGCGUCUGAUUAGCUAGUUGGUGGGGUAAAGGCCUACCAAGGCGACGAUCAGUAGCCGGCCUGAGAGGGUGAACGGCCACACUGGGACUGAGACACGGCCCAGACUCCUACGGGAGGCAGCAGUGGGGAAUCUUCCGCAAUGGACGAAAGUCUGACGGAGCAACGCCGCGUGUAUGAUGAAGGUCUUCGGAUUGUAAAGUACUGUCUUUGGGGAAGAAUGACUGAUUUGAAAAUAUUGAGUCAGUAUGACGGUACCCAAGGAGGAAGCCCCGGCUAACUACGUGCCAGCAGCCGCGGUAAUACGUAGGGGGCAAGCGUUGUCCGGAAUUAUUGGGCGUAAAGGGCGCGUAGGCGGAUAGUUAAGUCCGGUGUGAAAGAUCAGGGCUCAACCCUGAGAGUGCAUCGGAAACUGGUUAUCUUGAGGACAGGAGAGGAAAGUGGAAUUCCACGUGUAGCGGUGAAAUGCGUAGAUAUGUGGAGGAACACCAGUGGCGAAGGCGACUUUCUGGACUGUAACUGACGCUGAGGCGCGAAAGCGUGGGGAGCAAACAGGAUUAGAUACCCUGGUAGUCCACGCUGUAAACGAUGAGUGCUAGGUGUAGAGGGUAUCGACCCCUUCUGUGCCGCAGUUAACACAAU